AGAGUUUGAUCCUGGCUCGGGAUGAACGCUAGCGGCAGGCCUAACACAUGCAAGUCGAGGGGUAACAGGAGAGCUUGCUCUCGCUGACGACCGGCGCACGGGUGAGUAACGCGUAUGCAACCUACCUUUAACAGGGGGAUAGCCCGAAGAAAUUCGGAUUAAUACCCCAUAAUACUAUGAAUAAGCAUUUAUUUAUAUUAAAAACUCCGGUGGUUAAAGAUGGGCAUGCGUAACAUUAGUUAGUUGGUGAGGUAACGGCUCACCAAGACUACGAUGUUUAGGGGGCCUGAGAGGGUGGUCCCCCACACUGGUACUGAGACACGGACCAGACUCCUACGGGAGGCAGCAGUGAGGAAUAUUGCGCAAUGGAGGCAACUCUGACGCAGCCAUGCCGCGUGCAGGAUGACGGCCCUACGGGUUGUAAACUGCUUUUAUACAGGAAGAACUUUCCGCACGUGUGCGGGGUUGACGGUACUGUACGAAUAAGCACCGGCUAACUCCGUGCCAGCAGCCGCGGUAAUACGGAGGGUGCAAGCGUUAUCCGGAUUUAUUGGGUUUAAAGGGUGCGUAGGCGGGAUAAUAAGUCAGUGGUGAAAUACUGCAGCUCAACUGUAGAACUGCCAUUGAUACUGUUAUUCUUGAGUUCGAUUGAGGUAGGCGGAAUGUGUGAUGUAGCGGUGAAAUGCUUAGAUAUUACACAGAACACCGAUUGCGUAGGCAGCUUACUAAGUCGACACUGACGCUGAGGCACGAAAGCGUGGGGAGCGAACAGGAUCAGAUACCCUGGUAGUCCACGCUGUAAACUAUGAUCACUAGCUGUUGGCGAUACAUCGAUCAGCGGCAAAGCGAAAGCAUUAAGUGAUCCACCUGGGGAGUACGGUCGCAAGAUUGAAACUCAAAGGAAUUGACGGGGGCCCGCACAAGCGGUGGAACAUGUGGUUUAAUUCGAUGAUACGCGAGGAACCUUACCUGGGCUUAAAUGCAGAUUGACGUUUCGGGAAACCGGAAUUCUCUUCGGAGCGAUUUGCAAGGUGCUGCAUGGUUGUCGUCAGCUCGUGCCGUGAGGUGUCGGGUUAAGUCCCAUAACGAGCGCAACCCCUAUUGUUAGUUGCCAGCGGAUAAUGCCGGGGACUCUAACGAAACUGCCGGUGUAAACCGAGAGGAAGGUGGGGAUGACGUCAAAUCAGCACGGCCCUUAUGUCCAGGGCUACACACGUGUUACAAUGGUCGGUACAGAGGGCAGCUACCUGGUGACAGGAUGCUAAUCUCGAAAGCCGGUCUUAGUUCGGAUCGAAGUCUGCAACUCGACUUCGUGAAGCUGGAAUCGCUAGUAAUCGCGCAUCAGCAACGGCGCGGUGAAUACGUUCCCGGGCCUUGUACGCACCGCCCGUCAAGCCAUGGAAGCUGGGGGUACCUGAAGUCUGUAACCGCAAGGAGCGGCCUAGGGUAAAACUAGUGACUGGGGCUAAGUCGUAACAAGGUA
rnacentral:rRNA from 1 species